CAAUACAGUUCUAGAUCAUCUACAUGAUCCUCUCAUAACAUACCUUCCUUUUUGCUUGCUCUUUUUGUUAUCAAAGUGCCAGUUGUCAUGAUCUAAUAAAACAUUAACAGAAGCAAGCAAUGUGAAAACAAUGCAUCAGUACCAACUGACAGCCACAUGACACGCCGUGGAAUGAAGAAACCAAGAAAAAGCAAAACUGGGAGAGAAUCAAGAAUAGCUCAGCAAAUGGUGGUGCAGGAUGCCCAGUGCAAAAGAAUUUACCCUGUACCUGUCACGACCACAUUCAUGUUGCAGGUAUAUACAGGUCUGGAGCUCAAAGAAGAGACCAGGAUGAAGAUAAUCUUGGCAGAGUUCAAAAGCUAUUUCUCUCGUGUCUUAAAAAAGAAAGGGACUUCCCUGGUGGCGCAGUGGUUAAGAAUCCACCUGCCAAUGCAGGGGACAUGGGUUCGAG